AGCUCCAAUAGCGUAUAUUAAAGUUGUUGCAGUUAAAAAGCUCGUAGUUGAACUUCAGACCUGGUUGGGCGGUCUGCCUAACGGUACGUACUGUCUGGCUGGGUCUUACCUCUUGGUGAACCGGCAUGCCCUUCACUGGGUGUGUCGAGGAACCAGGAUCUUUACCUUGAGAAAAUCAGAGUGUUCAAAGCAGGCCUAUGCCCGAAUGCAUUAGCAGGGAAUAAUAAAAUAGGACGUGUAGUUCUAUUUUGUUGGUUUCUAGAGCUACCGUAAUGAUUAAUAGGGACAGUUGGGGGCAUUAGUAUUCAGUUGCUAGAGGUGAAAUUCUUAGAUUUACUGAAGACUAACUAUUGCGAAAGCAUUUGCCAAGGAUGUUUUCA
rnacentral:rRNA from 1 species